rnacentral:rRNA from 1 species
UGGGGAAUUUUGCACAAUGGGGGGAACCUUGAUGCAGCGACGCCGCGUGAGGGAUGGAGGCCUUCGGGUUGUGAACCUCUUUCGCUCGUGUGCAAGCCGCUAUUUGGGUAGUGGUGAGUGUAGCGGGUAAAGAAGCGCCGGCUAACUACGUGCCAGCAGCCGCGGUAAUACGUAGGGCGCGAGCGUUGUCCGGAUUUAUUGGGCGUAAAGGGCUUGUAGGCGGUUUGUCGCGCCUGUCGUGUAAUCCUCUGGCUUAACUGGGGGUGUGCGGUGGGUACGGGCAGGCUUGAGUGCGGUAGGGGAGAUUGGAAUUCCUGGUGUAGCGGUGGAAUGCGCAGAUAUCAGGAGGAAUACCGGUGGCGAAGGCGGGUCUCUGGGCUGUUACUGACGCUGAGGAGCGAAAGCGUGGGGAGCGAACAGG